GGACAGGGAGGGGAGGGGACAAGGGAAAAACCCAAACAUUUAACUGGAUCACAAUAAAGUGUGUGCAUUUUAUAUUCAGUAUUUAAUAACAAUGGUGUAAAUAAGUGUGUAACAGAUAGCUAUCUCCUAGGAAUAUAGUCUGAUUUCAACAAUGUUUAACAAUUACUUAUUAGGAAGUGUUCAAUUAUUUAUUGCUGUAGUGGUGUAGCAAUCGUCCUUUAGAAUAAAAUGUUUGCUUUUCAUCGGAAACACUCUAAGUAUUCUAUUUUCUCUUGAAAAUUUCAUUUUUAAGGCAUUUUAUUAGAUAUUUUCUUCAUUUACAUUUCAAAUGCUAUCCCCAAAUCCCCCUACACCCUUCCCCA
rnacentral:lncRNA from 1 species